GUCUACGGCCAUACCACCCUGAACGCACCCGAUCUCGUCUGAUCUCGGAAGCUAAGCAGGGUCGGGCCUGGUUAGUACUUGGAUGGGAGAUUUUCUGUUCAGACACAUAUCUGAAAAGU
rnacentral:rRNA from 1 species